UGUGGAUUUUGGCUCCGUCAGUAAUCUCAACCCACAGAAGCAGAACCAAGGCCCCUCUUUGAUGACCCUGCCUUUCCUGCCACACUCAGUGACUGGGAUUCUGUGCACUGACGCAUCCUGGAAGUUAACAUAAAAGCCCCAAACUGAACGGUGGCUUUCUAGAAGCCCAGGUCAACUGACCAGACACUAUUUUCCUAGAAUACCUUUAACUGCACUUUUUUCAAACAACAACCAAAUGGAAACCCAAGCUUUAUUUGCUUGUCCACUUAAGGAAAGAUGAAGCUGUGUUUCAGGAUACUGGGUUACAGGUACUCACCACCAUCACCAUUCCUGGAAAUCUGUUUCACUUUAUAACCCAAUGCAAGCAGGAGAUACUGUAGUUGGAACUAUUUAGAUAAUAAAGCUGCCAUCUACGCACUGGUUCAUUCAGCAAACAACUCUUAACUCACGGGCAACCCUGUGCCCAGCGUGGUCCUGAAACUUGUCUCUGGUAUUUAGAAGUGCCGCUGCUUACGAGGACUGUUGCCAGCUUGCUCCACUAUGAAUUGAGCCCUAGCAACACGAAUAGCGCAUGUGACAGUAAGAUGUGAUCUGAUGGAAAGCCUGCCUUUUACCACAGUGUUCUUGUCUGCCAUUUAAUAUACGGAAGAGAACGUCCAAGUGUGUGUCAGUGAACGCUAAAUCAUUUGUGAUGAGAGUCUAGUGUAUUUUCUCAAACCUAAUAAAGAAUACGACCCUUCUUUCAACCAAAUAAAUGUAAUUAGUGGUUUAAA